rnacentral:rRNA from 1 species
UGGGGAAUUUUGGACAAUGGGCGCAAGCCUGAUCCAGCCAUGCCGCGUGUCUGAAGAAGGCCUUCGGGUUGUAAAGGACUUUUGUCAGGGAAGAAAAGGCUGUCGCUAAUACCGACAGUUGAUGACGGUACCUGAAGAAUAAGCACCGGCUAACUACGUGCCAGCAGCCGCGGUAAUACGUAGGGUGCAAGCGUUAAUCGGAAUUACUGGGCGUAAAGCGAGCGCAGACGGUUACUUAAGCAGGAUGUGAAAUCCCCGGGCUCAACCUGGGAACUGCGUUCUGAACUGGGUGACUAGAGUGUGUCAGAGGGAGGUAGAAUUCCACGUGUAGCAGUGAAAUGCGUAGAGAUGUGGAGGAAUACCGAUGGCGAAGGCAGCCUCCUGGGAUAACACUGACGUUCAUGCUCGAAAGCGUGGGUAGCAAACAGGAUUAGAUACCCUGGUAGUCCACGCCCUAAACGAUGUCAAUUAGCUGUUGGGCAACUUGAUUGCUUAGUAGCGUAGCUAACGCGUGAAAUUGACCGCCUGGGGAGUACGGUCGCAAGAUUA